rnacentral:rRNA from 1 species
UGAACGCUGGCGGUAUGCUUUACACAUGCAAGUCGUACGGGAGUUUUUAACUCAAGUGGCGGACGGGUGAGUAACACGUAAGAAUUUACCUUUAGGAGGGGGAUAACAACUGGAAACGGUUGCUAAUACCCCAUAUGCUUUCGAGUGAAAUGGAUUUUUCCGCCUAGAGAGAAGCUCGCGGCUGAUUAGCUUGUUGGUAGGGUAAUGGCCUACCAAGGCGACGAUCAGUAUCUGGUUUGAGAGGACGAUCAGACACACUGGAACUGAGACACGGUCCAGACUCCUACGGGAGGCAGCAGUGGGGAAUUUUCCGCAAUGGGCGAAAGCCUGACGGAGCAAUACCGCGUGAGGGAAGACGGCCUAUGGGUUGUAAACCCCUUUUUUCAGGGAGGAAUCAAUGACGUGUACCUGAAGAAUAAGCAUCGGCUAACUCC